rnacentral:rRNA from 1 species
AAUCAACCGAGAUUCCCUUAGUAGUGGCGAGCGAACGGGGACCAGCCCUUAAGUUGAUUUGAGAUUAGUGGAACGCUCUGGAAAGUGCGGCCAUAGUGGGUGAUAGCCCCGUACACGAAAAUCUCUUAUCAAUGAAAUCGAGUAGGACGGAGCACGAGAAACUUUGUCUGAAUAUGGGGGGACCAUCCUCCAAGGCUAAAUACUACUGACUGACCGAUAGUGAACCAGUACCGUGAGGGAAAGGCGAAAAGAACC